rnacentral:rRNA from 1 species
AGCAUUAUACCGUGAAACUGCGAAUGGCUCAUUAAAUCAGUUAUCGUUUAUUUGAUAGUACCUUACUACUUGGAUAACCGUGGUAAUUCUAGAGCUAAUACAUGCUAAAAACCCCAACUUCGGGAGGGGUGUAUUUAUUAGAUAAAAAACCAAUGCCCUCCGGGGCUCCUUGGUGAUUCAUAAUAACUUCUCAGAUCGCAUGGCCUUGCGCCGGCGACGGUUCAUUCAAAUUUCUGCCCUAUCAACUUUCGAUGGUAAGGUAUUGGCUUACCAUGGUUUCAACGGGUAACGGGGAAUUAGGGUUCGAUUCCGGAGAGGGAGCCUGAGAAACGGCUACCACAUCCAAGGAAGGCAGCAGGCGCGCAAAUUACCCAAUCCCGACACGGGGAGGUAGUGACAAUAAAUACUGAUACAGGGCUCUUUAGGGUCUUGUAAUUGGAAUGAGUACAAUUUAAACCUCUUAACGAGGAACAAUUGGAGGGCAAGUCUGGUGCCAGCAGCCGCGGUAAUUCCAGCUCCAAUAGCGUAUAUUAAAGUUGUUGCAGUUAAAAAGCUCGUAGUUGAACCUUUGGCCUGGCUGGCGGGUCCGCCUCACCGCGUGCAUUCGUCCGGCUGGGCCUUUUCUUCUGGAGAACCGCAUGCCCUUCACUGGGUGUGUUGGGGACCAGGACUUUUACUUUGAAAAAAUUAGAGUGUUCAAAGCAGGCCUUUGCUCGAAUACGUUAGCAUGGAAUAAUAGAAUAGGACGUGCGGUCCUAUUUUGUUGGUUUCUAGGACCGCCGUAAUGAUUAAUAGGGACAGUCGGGGGCAUCAGUAUUCAAUUGUCAGAGGUGAAAUUCUUGGAUUUAUUGAAGACUAACUACUGCGAAAGCAUUUGCCAAGGAUGUUUUCAUUAAUCAGUGAACGAAAGUUAGGGGAUCGAAGACGAUCAGAUACCGUCGUAGUCUUAACCAUAAACUAUGCCGACUAGAGAUCGGGCGGUGUUAUUAUUUUGACUCGCCCGGCAUCUUACGAGAAAUCAAAGU